UUACGGCCAUAUCACGAUGAGACACCGUUUCUCGUAUGAUCACCAUAGUUAAGCAACGUCGAGCUUGGUCAGUACCUAGAUGUGUGACUGCUUGGGAAUAUCAGGUGCC